rnacentral:rRNA from 1 species
GACGAACGCUGGCGGCGUGCUUAACACAUGCAAGUCGAACGGUAAGGCCCUUCGGGGUACACGAGUGGCGAACGGGUGAGUAACACGUGGGUGAUCUGCCCUGCACUUCGGGGUAAGCCUGGGAAACUGGGUCUAAUACCGGAUAGGACCACUGCCUGCAUGGGUGGUGGUGGAAAGCUUUUGCGGUGUGGGAUGGGCCCGCGGCCUAUCAGCUUGUUGGUGGGGUGAUGGCCUACCAAGGCGACGACGGUUAGCCGGCCUGAGAGGGUGACCGGCCACACUGGGACUGAGAUACGGCCCAGACUCCGACGGGAGGCAGCAGUGGGGAAUAUUGCACCAUGGGCGCAAGCCUGAUGCAGCGACGCCGCGUGAGGGAUGACGGCCUUCGGGUUGUAAACCUCUUUCAGCACCGACGAAGCGCAAGUGACGGUAGGUGCAGAAGAAGGACCGGCCAACUACGUGCCAGCCGCCGCGGUAA